UAUUGGCUUCUGUACAUUAAUCAGGAAUAAAAAGCUCGGGUUUUGGAGGUUUGGAGACAAUUCCUCUCCCAUCAGUCUAAGUGAAAUCUUACUCAGAAACUGCUGCAUUAACUUCUAAGUAAAAAUUCUCCACAUCAGGGGAAAGUCCCUUUGGAAACUGGAUGUAGAAUCGAAGGCAAGCAGAGAAUGUCCAGUCCAUCUGGCUGAAUUAAGCUGAUCAGCAAUGUAUAUAUAUGUUAAUGCUGGCACCUGAGUAGACACCCUUGUCUGCUGGACUGCUCUAUUUCAUUAGAGAGACAGCAGUCUGAAGAACCAAUGGCAAUAUGAGCCAGCCUGAGCCUUCCAGUGCAAGAGGAAGAGCUGAAGGAAGUGCUGGAGCUGGAGCUGGAGCUGGAUCUGAGUACCAUAGCAAAAGAAAUUCUGAGGAAGGAGGGGGAACCCUCUGAGUUUGUGCUCCACACUCCUCCCCAGAAGGUGCUUUGGAGGAGGUUGAGGUAGAGGUUGUGGAGAAGGAAAUAUGUCAUCCGCCACACUGAUGAGCUGCAAUAAAGACUGGAGCAAAGGACCUCUCCAUUGUCAUGAUAUUGGGGCCUGCAACAGUGAAUAAGAAACCAGGAUAGUCCAGAACAGGGAGCACACAGCUUUGGGCUCCAGUGUCAACUCAAACAUCUUGGAGAAUGCAACUGGUACUUUGUUGCACCUCUGCAAAUCACACACCUCCCAACUGGUCAUUCAGCAACUAUUGGAGCUGUAGGAGAUAUCAAAUCAGGUGGCCAUUUUCAAGGCAGCGAGGGAACACUAGCUAAAAAUUGCACUUUCAUUAUUGGUGCUAUUACUCCCCAUGUUAUUUUACUGGCACUUUGUAGGUUAUGACAGUGGUGAGGUUUUUAUGCCUUGCAUCAUUUAUGCAUUUUUUUUUUUUUGGAAUAUCCGUUCAUUUCAGACCACAAGCUAGACCAUCAUGUUCCACACACUGGGCAAUUCUACACAAGAUGCUAACUGCACAGUAGCCAAAUAAUAGUGCUAAUACACUACUGCACAAUAUUUUUAGGCUACUGCACUGUAAUGUCACUAAAAAGGCGUUCGCUGUUGCUACUGCACAGUAACUCUGGUUACUGCAUAUUGUAAUACUUGAUUACACAAGUACUAAAUAAAUGCACAACCACUGCGCAGUAGCAUCUCAUGUAGGCCUGCCGAUUGUUUCUUUAAAAGGAAAUACUUGACCCCCAUCAGAAAUGUAGCACUGAAAGAGGCCAGUUACCCAUCAAUAUGACAGCCGUGGCCUGCAUUAGAUCCCAGAUAGGAAGAUGAAAGACACCCCAAGUAGGCAAUUAUGGUAUCACAUACCCAUAUUAUAAAUUUAUGCCUCACACCCCUUAGAGCAAACUUACCCCUUGGAGGAGAAAAGUUUAUAUCUAUUUUACACCAGAUUAUUUAAAAGCCAACUAUUAUUGGCUAUUUUACUUAAAUAUAAACAUCCCAUCCUUUAAAUUCAGCUAAACUCUUGGCCUCAUUUGUGCAGCAGUGUAUUCCAGCAGUCAACUGGGUUUGAUGCUUGUUUUACCAGUUUUAGCUUUCAAUUUCUUGCCUUUCUAUUUUAUUUGGUAUCCUCUUUUUCUGGCACUUGGGAUAGUGUUUGGCAGCACAUGCUUUACCUUUCCUUGCACAACAUUCUCCUUUGUAACCUAUCAUAUCAAUUUCCCUUUGUAGAGCUAGUUAGUCCCCUCAAAAAUGGCUAGUUCAUCAAAACCAAAAGUUCCCACAAGGAAAUAUCCAUUAUCAAAACUUUUCUAGUUUUGGAAACAAGUUUAAGAAAACAAUUUUGAAAUCUCAAAAAAGAAAAUCCAAAUGGGACUUCAGGACAACAACAACAAUCUGGGUUCCAGAAUGACAUUUUCUUUCAAAAUUUGGUAAAACAGUACAUGACAGUAAUUGUAAGUAACCAGCUGUAAAAACUAAAAGAUCAAAAUGCAAUAUUCCUAUCAGUCAAAACCAAAAUGAUUUAAAAGUUAGUUGUCAAAAGAUUUUAAUACCACAAAAUUCUUCAGGAGGGAAGUACACUUGCCCACUGAACUCUACUUACUUGACUCCUCUCUAGAUAUUUGCAUUCAUUAUCCAGGGACAAGCCCCAACUAUGUCUGUAAUAGGUAGUAAGAAAAAAAAGUAAUUCUAUUUGCCUGAACUGUAAGAGAACAAUAUUUUAAUCAAACGAAUGAAGUGCAAGUCAAGCUGAAACUAGUGUCUGACUCAAAUCACAUACACAGCUAUUUUUUCAGUCUUUCUUCCAGUCAAUCUCCAACAAGGCAAUCCAACAAAUUUUCCUAUUUUGGACUCUCACACAUCUAGGUGUGUCAUCAUGUACCAACUCUUCCCCUCAUAAGAACUGCUUUUGUUCUUGUUAACUCACCAGGAAAUCUGAGCUGUUAAUACUGGAAAGACUGGAUAAAUUAAUUCCUUCCCCCGCCUCUCCCCUGCAACAAUAGAAUUACAGUUGGUAAAAAUGACUAAUUUUCUAUUGUGAGGAACAGUUCUGUUGCAUUUGGUUCCUCUUUCCCUGCACUUGCCAAGCUACCCUUUCAUUAAACUUUACGAGUCUGAUACAAAUGUAAGAAAACCACUCCAACUUUAACCCUGGAAGAAAUGAUGUUUAAAUUGGAGUUGUGUUGCUAUACUGGUAUGGCUCCCACCCUUCCACAAGUAAUUGCUGGAUCUUAAUAGCUGCCAUGCAUUUUGGAGCAAGAGACCCCUCCACCUCUCUUCUUUUGAAAUGGCUGCAAAAGUACAUGUGUCCAUACACUGACUUGGCUUCUACCAGAGCAAGCUGACAGCCAACAGAAUGUAUCGCUCAUCUUCUCCCAUCCCUGACCAACAUGCUAUCCCAGGUCAGCUCCAGGUAUGCCUUGAUCCAAAUGAAGACUUGCCUACAGAUCCUAUCACAAGCAUCACAUGAUUAGAUGUGCAGUAUUUUAUUUCCUAAAUGUGCUGCUUGGAAGAGGAAGGAAGGAGGGAAAAUUUUAGUUUUUUUAUGCUGUUGGUUCUCUCUUUGAAGGAAGCAAUAGUCUCUGGAAUAUCUUCUACCUCAGCCCUCCUUCCAAAUGGCAUGAAUUCCCAUGUCAACUACAAUAACACUUCCUCCAGAAACCCAGCUGUCUUAUGUAUGUUCCAUUGCUCUGAAAAUAUGUUCAGUAUUCAUUAAGUUCUCACUGCCCAGACCCCAUCCUCCCAGCUCUCCCCACAAGCAUCCUUUCAGUCCCAGAAAUUUCAUCUUCACAACCCACCUGGAACCGGAUGCCCACUGACCUUCCUCUCCUUUCCCAUUGUUCAGAACCCUCCACCUCCCGAAUAACCUCUCAGUACCUGCUACCUUCCUCACUCCUUAGGAACCUCCCAGCUGCUUUCCAACUUAUAAUCCUUUCCUCCUGUCCAACUGCUUAGAAGCCGUCAUGAAGACCCCCGUGCAUGCCCUCUUCUCUACUGGUUCCUUUGUUCUGCCAAACUCCACUCCUCUUCUCUGGGUUCAAGCAUCAACCCUUUCUUUUCUCCUGUCCCAAAAAAAUCAUUGCUGUUAUUCUACUCUCCAAUGGCUCUUCCUCUGUUUUAGCCCUGUACUGAAGAAAAUGUCAAGUUUCUCCCCCGUCAGGGGAGACCAAGCCCAUGGAAAAACCCUGAGCCAGGGUAGGACCAAGGGAAAGAAGAAAGUCAUGGAGAACUCUGGUUUUCCUCUUUGCUCUUUCAUCACUUCUUUCUAGGAAAAUGCUUCUGGGAAUUCGAGCUGGUAGUGUCCCCAUGACUGACAGCUCAUUACUUCAAGCCUCCUACUCCUGGCUUGUUUCCCCCUCCCUCCCACCCAAGCUCUCAUAGGCUAGGGACAGACAUUUAAAAAGCUGGAGCCUGAAUUGAUUCAACCUUUGCAGAUGAGUCUAACCUGCCUAGGUUGAACUGGUUUGUAACAGCGCAGACAUUUUCUCUGGACUGAGAAAAUGUGGGCGCAUGCCUGCAGGUGCACAGGCCAGGAGCUGAGGAGUGCUAGAGCGUGUCCUCCCUUUCAGGGAAGCUGUGCUGGGGAGGAGGGGGUUGUGGCCAAUCUGAGGCGAACUUUAAUUCAUCCCUCCCUGUCCCACUGGCAGGGACCUGACCUCGGUCUGCUAGGUGCUCCCCCCUCGCUGCUGCAGCGGGGGUCACCUUGGGUCCCUGAGGCAGAGGGGUCGG